rnacentral:rRNA from 1 species
UGGGGAAUAUUGCACAAUGGGCGCAAGCCUGAUGCAGCCAUGCCGCGUGUGUGAAGAAGGCCUUCGGGUUGUAAAGCACUUUCAGCGGGGAGGAAGGCGUUAAGGUUAAUAACCUUGGCGAUUGACGUUACCCGCAGAAGAAGCACCGGCUAACUCCGUGCCAGCAGCCGCGGUAAUACGGAGGGUGCAAGCGUUAAUCGGAAUUACUGGGCGUAAAGCGCACGCAGGCGGUCUGUCAAGUCGGAUGUGAAAUCCCCGGGCUCAACCUGGGAACUGCAUUCGAAACUGGCAGGCUAGAGUCUUGUAGAGGGGGGUAGAAUUCCAGGUGUAGCGGUGAAAUGCGUAGAGGUCUGGAGGAAUACCGGUGGCGAAGGCGGCCCCCUGGACAAAGACUGACGCUCAGGUGCGAAAGCGUGGGGAGCAAACAGG